UUUACUCCUAACGGAGGCAGCAGUGGGGAAUAUUGCACAAUGGGCGAAAGCCUGAUGCAGCGACGCCGCGUGAGGGAUGACGGCCUUCGGGUUGUAAACCUCUUUCAGUAGGGAAGAAGCCCUCUUUGGGGGUGACGGUACUUGCAGAAGAAGCGCCGGCUAACUACGUGCCAGCAGCCGCGGUAAUACGUAGGGCGCAAGCGUUAUCCGGAAUUAUUGGGCGUAAAGAGCUCGUAGGCGGUUUGUCGCGUCUGCUGUGAAAGACCGGGGCUCAACUCCGGUUCUGCAGUGGGUACGGGCAGACUAGAGUGCAGUAGGGGAGACUGGAAUUCCUGGUGUAGCGGUGAAAUGCGCAGAUAUCAGGAGGAACACCGAUGGCGAAGGCAGGUCUCUGGGCUGUAACUGACGCUGAGGAGCGAAAGCAUGGGGAGCGAACAGGAUUAGAUACCCUGGUAGUCCAUGCCGUAAACGUUGGGCACUAGGUGUGGGGGACAUUCCACGUUUUCCGCGCCGUAGCUAACGCAUUAAGUGCCCCGCCUGGGGAGUACGGCCGCAAGGCUAAAACUCAAAGGAAUUGACGGGGGCCCGCACAAGCGGCGGAGCAUGCGGAUUAAUUCGAUGCAACGCGAAGAACCUUACCAAGGCUUGACAUGGACCGGAAAGACCUGAAACAGUGACCC
rnacentral:rRNA from 1 species